rnacentral:piRNA from 1 species
UGUCACUCAGUACUUACAACAGGUGGC